UACGGAGGGUGCGAGCGUUGUCCGGAAUCACUGGGCGUAAAGGGCGCGUAGGCGGCGCGGGUAGUCAUCGGUGAAGGUUCAGGGCUCAACUCUGAAUCGGCCGGUGAUACUCCCGUGCUCGAGCACUGUAGAGGCAGGUGGAAUUCCGGGUGUAGCGGUGGAAUGCGUAGAGAUCCGGAAGAACACCGGUGGCGAAGGCGGCCUGCUGGGCAGUAGCUGACGCUGAUGCGCGACAGCGUGGGGAGCAAACAGG
rnacentral:rRNA from 1 species